UGGGGCGUAGUGUAAUUGGUAACACUACAGAUUCUGACUCUGUCAUUUAAGGUUCGAGUCCUUACGCCCCAG
rnacentral:tRNA from 4 species